rnacentral:misc_RNA from 1 species
GGAACAGAAAAAAGCCCAACUUGUAAUCAUUGCACAUGAUGUGGAUCCUAUUGAGAUGGUGUUGUUCCUUCCAGCAUUGUGUAGAAAAAUGGGAGUACCCUACUGCAUAGUGAAAGGCAAAGCAAGGCUGGGACUCCUUGUAAGACGGAAGACAUGCACUUCUAUCGCUCUUACACAAGUAGACUCUGGUGACAGGUCGAACUUCAAUAAGAUUGUGGAGGUAGUAAAGACAAACUUCAAUGAUCGUGCGGAUGAAAUCAGAAAACAUUGGGG